rnacentral:ncRNA from 2 species
UCCUUAUCAAGAGCGAUGGAGGGUAUGGGCCCUAUGAAAUCCGGCAACCAGUAUUUAUACAAGGUGCUAAAUCCCACAGGACUUUGGUUCUGAAAGAUGAGGU